rnacentral:lncRNA from 1 species
AGGUACAAAAGAAGUCUCACUCCCUUGCCACCAGCACUGCAGUUCUGAUCUAACUCUGCCAGGACACAGAUCCAUAGGGUCAGCCCUGCAUCCUGAGCAGCUUAGAGGGAGGAGCCAGACCAGAAGUGCCUCACACCUUGUCCUCUUCUGCUCUGGACAGAUGGC